AAGCUCGAUAACACUUUCGUUCUGAUAUUUUCGGACAACCAGAACACCAUAGGGAGUGAAUGCACCAAGGGGGCUAUUCAAGAACUAAAGGAGGUAGCAUAUAGCUACAAGUGCUCUAGUCUGUUGUUACAAGAAGAAGAAGAAGAAGAAGAAGAAGAAGAAGAAGAAGAAGGUGCAGAUUUGGCAAUGAAAUUACUUUUCAUUAGGGGCCUUGCAUUGUGAAUGAAGAUGAAAUGAGACAGCAUAACAUCACUUUGAAAUCAAGUGGCACUAAGUAUUUAGUUCAUGAUGAAAUAAUAGAGUUCAGGUGUACCAGAGGAUUAUCUACUGGCACUGUGGCAAUGCGUCAGAGAUGUAAUAGUGGUGUGUUAGUCCUACCUACAUGCCGAGAGUGAAAAGUUGAAAUGAUUUCUGAACUUCUGUUUUCAGAUGUGGAAUAAUAAAUCUCAGAUUGUCUGAUCUGGUCCGUUUUCUGCUUUCUUCUACUU
ensembl:lncRNA